rnacentral:lncRNA from 1 species
CCUCUUCCACCUCCUGCCUCUCCCCUGCCCCCACAGCUGUGACUCAAGGCUGCCCUUCCCUCCUUGGGUUUCAAAGGCCUCCCCCCACUCACCCCAUGCCACAGCUCCCAGGUGAAGCUCAGGGCUCCCUCUGCGUAGAAAGGGGACUCUGGAACACAGUCGUGUGUUGCUGAGGCCAGGACAGGUGCUUGUUGCAUUCUGAGCUUGGUGUGAAGUGGGCACUACAGGGUCCAGGUCCCCUUCCUCGGUUGGAACGAGGACUCUAGGACUCUAUGUGUCCUGACCCUGGAACUCCCACCCACAUGCCACACGUGGCACUCACAUGCCCCUAGCAACCCCCAUGCCCUGGGGCCUGUGCCCUCAUCCACCCGGUCCCAGCACCCUUUGGGCCUGUGGGCUGCUGACACCGAAUGUGACAGGCUGGUAUUUAAAAGUGACCAUAGAGAAGCCUUCAUACCCUGGUAGGCCAGAUGUGGACACUUCCCCCUCCUGGGCCCCAGAGGCAGGGGGUGAGGGCUUCCUUGGCACUUCAGCACCCCUCGCUCCCGAAACCACGUAGCCCACUUUCUCCCAGGGAGCUCUAAGGGAAGCCCAGGCUGGCACCCUGGCCUCCACCCUCAGCUUCUGCACUGCCUUCAGGAGGUGGAGCCUCCUGGCCUGGCUUCUGGAUGCUGCAGGGGUAGGGGCUGGGCUGCCCGAAUUUGGGGGUCCCCCAUGAUGGGUGAGGGUAGCUUGGAAGAGGCCUGGAUAUGUCUUUGACAGGGGCGGGGAAAAAGGAACUUAGGGCUGCGAUGGUGAGGGGUGGCUACAGCAGCCCAGCUGACAUGUUCAUCCUGAACUCCCCGCACCUGCUGGGGAUGGGGCAGCAGGUUUGGUGAUGCCGCAGGAAAGCCACGCCCACCCUUGCUGUGCUGUGUGGUGUAGGCCAGUCCCUUCUCCUUUCUGGGCUUCAGGCUCCCAUGGCCCCGACUCCCUUUUCUCUGCUGGGGAGACCUGGACUGGGACGUAGGCUCGUGUGUGGGUGUGUCCUGAGUCCCUGUCCUCCCCUCGAGUCUCACCCUUCAUUCUGCUGUGUUGGGGUUGAAGGCCAGGGAAGGCUUCUCAGAGGGCUUGGGCGGGGCAUCUGGAAAGAGUUUGUGCAAAGGCCCAGAGGCGUGGUGGUUACUCAGCUGUCAGGGAGACAGGAGCUUGAGGUGCUUGCCCAGAGAUGAGGCCACAGAGGUGAGCCGCUGGGGAGAGGGCAGGGCAGGAAGGUCAGCCCAGGCAGUUACUAGGAUGGUUUCAGACCCUGCCACCAAACCUGAAGCCAAACCUCGGCCAUCCCUGGUGUCCUGCCUCCUGAAUGACCUUCAUGAAUCAGCCAUUUGAGGCUCUAGCCCCAGAAGGAGGGUCAGGCUGAGUGGGAGAAAAUCAUGGGUUCCGGGUUCUGAAGGCAGCUGGGCUGCAGACACUGUCACAUCACAGCUGGGUGGGGGCUGGGUGUUGGGUCCAAGGAGGUGGCUGUCCAAGGUCACACAGCCUGUGGGUCCUGGGCUGCCACCAGGGGGUCUCCCAGCAUCCCCAUUCCGUCACCCAUCUGUCCUUCAUGCCCGUGAUGGCAGCUUUAUCCCAGGUCCCAGCAGAAGCUGCGGCUGCAGGGGCAGUUAGGCAGGCAGGUAAAUAAGGCAUCCUGGUCCGGGCGCAGUGGCUCACACCUGUAAUCUCAGCACUUUGGGAGGCCGAGACCGGCGGAGUUGGAGACCAGCCUGGCCAACAUGGUGAAACCCCGUCUCUACUAAAAAUACAAAAAUUAGCCAGGUGUGGUGGCAGGCACCUUAUAAUCCCAGCUACUAGGGAAGCUGAGGCUGGAGAAUCACUUGAACCGGGGAGGUGGAGGUUGCAGUGAGCCAAGAUUGCGCCAUUGCACUCCAGCCUGGGCAACAGAGCGAGACUCUGCUUCAAAAAAUAAAAAAAUAAAAAAAAAAGGAUUCCUGGAGGAGGCCGCUGAUGGGGUCUGAAAAAUGAGUAGCAGUUUUUUGGGAAAAGAGGCAGGAAAGCAGAGAAAGCUCGCAUGGGGAGGGGAGGCUCACNUGGGGAAGGUCCCUGAGAGUGGGCUCCAGGAGGGGGAGGGGAGGGGAGGGAAGGGGAGCCUCAUUAGAGUUUCCUGACCUGCUCUGGGAAGCAGCUGUCUUGGGGCCACAGGUGAGGCUGGCAGAUACUGCCUGGGAGGGGAAACUCGUGCGUGAUUUCGAGCACCGGAGAGGACGGCCUGGAGAGGCCGAAAGAACUGCCCAGGGCCACACGGUGAGACGGUGGUGGCCGGGGCUGGCUUUUGAUGAGGUGGGAGACAGAGGGCCACCCCUGACUGCUGUCCCCGCAGGGCGCUGACAGAGCUUCUGAAGCAGCCGGGCCCCCAGGAGCCAUUGCCUCCCACCCUGGGCCCACCCCUGGGUAGCUGUGUCCAGGUGCAGAUGGGGGAUGGCCUCCCCCGGGGCUCCCCCCACAACAGCGCAGACAUCCCCCGUCUCGGCGGGAGCAGGUCCCAGGACUCCACGCCUGGCUCGAGCGUCGCCUCCGGGCGAGCCGUUCAUGAGGGUGGCACCCCCCGGGCUGGCUGCUGCCGCCGCUGCGCGUGACUCGGAGCCAGGCCCUGUUCCAGGCGCUGGAGGCUGCCGCGAAGACAGGCUUAGCUCGCAGCCUCGCCCGGAGAACGGUCCCCCAGGUUCUCACCGAACGGCCUCGGGUAGAGGACUACGGAGAGGUGACAGCGAGGGCGGAGUGACCCGGGGCAUCGGACCGAGCCGCGUCUCACUCCUCGCUCCAGACAAGAAGCGCCUCAACAACGCGCCCCGGGGGUCGGCCGCCCCGGGGCCCCCGCGCGGCCCGCGGCUGCAAGGCGGCGGCAGCCUGACGCUGCAG